UGGCUCAGUGGUUAAGAGCUUGGCUGCUAACCAAAAGGUCGGUGGUUCAAGUCCACC
rnacentral:tRNA from 1 species